CUGUCCGUCUGCCCUCCCCCUGCGAUACCUUGCCUCGCCCCUCGACCGCCGAGUUGGCGCAACACAAGGAAAACCCUAUCCCGCACAAUCACUGCAAGCCACUCAUCUCCGAUGCCACCGUACACGACGUCCUAGCGCCGCCACAACUGCAUCACCCCUCGCCGGUCGGACGCGACGCCAGUGCCCUGCCUCUGACCUGCUCGCAAUCCAAAUUGGAGCGUGCGGCUUCCCUCGCGGUGGCGCUCCAUCCCUCUCUUGUCCAGCGGCGUGGACCGCCUCUCUCGGCAGCACUCGGCUCUCUUCCCCGGCCAGCAGCGCUCGGCCACUUACCCACAGCAGCGACGCAAGCAACCCCUCAGACGGCCGGCGGCUGUGCGCGCGGCUUUUCUACUUGCGGCGCUCGGCUACGGCAACGGCGCGCGGCCCCCUCCACGGGCCGACGGCAGCAUGCAACGAGCUAGAAGGCAACAGCUGCAUUUGACCAACGGGACGAAGUGACGAACCAUGGAUUGGGUCAUUGGGACCACUACAAAUGUUUUAUAUAGGAGUACGAGAACCGGAUACAAUUAUGGAUUGCUGGCACUCGUUGUAUCUAUGUUGAUUUUGCUAUUAUUUUGUUGAAGCUGCUACUGAUUGAACCUGAUUUUGGCUUCGAGCUUGACGUGAAUGAUGUUUACCAUGUGUUCGAUGAAAUGUUCGUAUGGUUCACAGGUGGUUAAAAUCGAGUUUGGUCGUAACUAUGGAGAACAUGAUAGCUGCAGAAAAAGGCCAGGCACUCAGGUUUUUGUCAGUCCCCUCACAAGGUCAUUGUCGGGCCUUCACCGACAACAAGCACCCCAUGCCGUUGGUCUGCCGAAGCUGUGAUUCCCGCUUCGCUCGCCCCGCUAUCAUGGCCUCCGGAGGUGUUCACGUCACACUCGCACAUCGUCUCUCCCGGCUCACCGAGAUCAGUGUUCCGGAGAAAAGGAAGCUCCCAUCUCCACUUGCCAACCGUGAUCAGCGCUCCGAAGAAAAGGAAGGUCCCAUCUCCACUUGCCACAAUCCUAUCGCGCGCCACCGCUCUGCCUAGGUGUGUCCCCCGUCUCCUCCCUCACCAGUUCCUCCACAGUCCUAUCUGAUGGCAAAGCAUGAUAUCUAUGCAUCGCUGAUGAACAGGAUAUCUGUGCAAGUAACUAGCUUGUAUUUUGUGGAAGCCUUCGUUCCCAUAACCCUGUUUGGCAGUAUGCUAAACUGCCAAGGUGUAUGGUACACUUGUAUUUAGUUAGCAUUUGGCAUAUGCUGAUAUUUGCUUUUAAAAAAUAGUGCAUUUAAUUUAUUAGGAAUGAUACAUUGCAACUAGAGGCACCAAUUGGAAUAGCUUAUUCCAUAUCACUAGAAUUAUUAGCUUGACAUGCAUAAAAGCAGAGGUGUAUUUGUUUGGCCAAUUAUUAUCAGGCUAUAGUAGUUUGACAUCGCUCUAGAAAACUCAUCAAAGUCAAAUUGAUUCAGAAUAAUAUCAUCUUGUUCAUCGCUAGAACUGUUCUAUUGACAAGCCUAGAAUCAUGCAUGACCACAUGCAUUAUUCUUCUAAGUUAGACACUAUCCGAAAAAAUGUUGACUAAAAUUCAGCCAGUGUGUAGUAGAUUAACCAUUGAAUCUGAAAAGUUAAUAUACUUAGAACCAUGGUUUUUAAGGCGUUACGGCGUCAUGGGGCACUGGGGGUACGCCUUGACGAUGCUUAGGCGCCUUGUAGGGGGAAGAGCAUCAAAACACACUAAUCUCUGUGGCCCCUCCAGCAUAGGAGCUUAUUGUACUUGAUAUUUAUUAUUCGGGGUGAAAGUUCAGGCAUAUUUUUUUUGAGGAAUUGGAAGUUCAAAAAUAUCGUUAGACAUUGCUCUUUAGUUUAAACAUAUACUUUUUUGGGAUGCUCCUAGGGAGAGUAGCCUGCAAAUAGAACAGAACCUAUGUUAAACUAAUUUGGGAUGCUGCUAGGCAGAGUAGUCUGCUAACAGGAUGAGCAUACGCUGGCAGAUCACUUUGAUGUAACCUAGCCUAAAUGCAACACUCUGAAGCAACUUUGGAAAAGAAACAAAAUGACCUUCUGAUGAUUUACAUCGGCAGAUAACGUGUGUUAUUUUAGUGGAGAAAUUUUGCUAACAGGUGUUCCUAUAUAUGCUUCUUCCAUAUCCAAUGCUUGGUGAGCUUUCUGCAAAUUCAGGAUACCUUGGUCAACAAUGCUUGGUGAGCUUUCUGCAAAUUCAGUGCCAAUUUUUUAAACUUUGCUUGCCCUCUACAACUUCACUACCAACGCCAUCUAUUGCCAUUGGCGUCCAGAUACAACUACCCCUGCUCACUGCAGCAUCAUUGUACCCUUCUCAAACAUCAUCGUCCCUAUUGCACGGUCUAGCAAAUUCACCUUCCUACCAAUUAGUUAGAUUGAUCAAAUAUUAUAAUGCAUAGGUAGAAAGAAAGUCGGAUUUUAAAACUGACGCUUAGCUUUGUUAUAUUAGUAAGGCUUUGUUGCUUGGUUUGAUGUUGUAUAGGUGUACUGAUGCAUAGGUAGAAAGAGAGUAGUUUGAUAUAGGUUUCAACUGCUCUAUUUGCCAUAUGAUGUGCACAAGUUUUGUCAUUUGCAUCUCCUGAGCAUCUUAUGACCCUACUAAUGUAGGUCAUGUUUUUCUUGCAGGUGCCUUAUAUCAACUUUCUAACUUUCUGUGCAUCAAAGAAAAUGGUAUCUAUAUUUUUCUUUGAUGCCUUAUAUCAGCUUGAUUACCUAUGUUAUCUAUAUUCAGGCUUUGUCCUUUUCUACAACUGCCUGUGUUCUUGUGUGAGUUAAAUUAGUUGUCUAUUUUUUAUUGCGAUUGCAAAAAAAGCUAACCAUAUGUCACUUGGGAUUUGAGACCCUCCCUAUAAAUCUUGGGAUUUUUGGAAUUUGGAUAAGAUGUGAAGCCGGUCGCCACUGGUCAUGGUUGGUGGAGGCCUGGUAGGUGGUGUGGUGUCGGUGUCAGCGGAGUCUGCAUGUGAAGGGUGGUAGGAGUGGAUUUGGCAGUGGAGCGCUGCUGAUGACGAGCUGUUGAAUUGGGCAAAGGAAGGAUCAAAGAGAGUAGGCUCAGAACAGUAUUGUUUAUGGACAUAUGCGUGCCGCACGCCGGAGAUCAACAGGGGCACGACCGAGGUGGCAUGGCACGGGCUACAAUGGUAUAGGGUGUCCACCAUCAUUUUAAUCUUUCAAUAAAUGUAUAGCCAGUUUUGUCAAAAAGAAUUUUAGAGAUCAAACAAUGUAUAUUUUUCAUCAUAUAUUUUGUUGUGUUGUAAUUAGUAAAGUUGUAAUAUAAUUAUUAAAAAUAGAAAGAAUUAGAAUGAAAAAGUUGGCUACAAAGUUUCAUGA